AUUGAACGCUGGCGGCAGGCCUAACACAUGCAAGUCGAGCGGGGUUUUCGGACCUAGCGGCGGACGGGUGAGUAAUGCGUAGGAAGCUACCCGGUAGAGGGGGAUACCAGUUGGAAACGACUGUUAAUACCGCAUAAUGUCUACGGACCAAAGUGUGGGACCUUCGGGCCACAUGCUAUCGGAUGCGCCUACGUUGGAUUAGCUCGUUGGUGAGGUAAUGGCUCACCAAGGCGACGAUCACUGGCUGUUUUGAGAGGAUUAUCAGCCACACUGUGACUUAGACACGGUCCAGACUCCUGCGGGAGGCAGCAGGGGGGAAUAUUGAACACUGGGCGCAAGCCUGAUCCAGCCAUGCCGCGUGUGUGAAGAAGGCCUUCGGGUUGUAAAGCACUUUCAGUAGGGAGGAAGGGUGUUGUGUUAAUAGCGCAGCAUUUUGACGUUACCUACAGAAGAAGCACCGGCUAACUCUGUGCCAGCAGCCGCAGUAAAAC
rnacentral:rRNA from 1 species